rnacentral:rRNA from 1 species
CUACGGGUCGCUCCAGUGGGGAAUAUUGGACAAUGGGGGAAACCCUGAUCCAGCAAUGCCGCGUGUGUGAAGAAGGCCUGCGGGUUGUAAAGCACUUUCGGUUGGGAGGACUGCUUCUAGCACUAAUAUUGUUGGAAGUUGACGUUACCUUCAGAAGAAGCACCGGCUAACUCCGUGCCAGCAGCCGCGGUGAAUACGGAGGGUGCAAGCGUUAAUCGGAAUUACUGGGCGUAAAGCGCGCGUAGGCGGCUAGAUCAGUCGGGUGUGAAAGCCCCGGGCUUAACCUGGGAACUGCAUCCGAUACUGUCUAGCUUGAGUACAGGAGAGGAGAGUGGAAUUCCACAUGUAGCGGUGAAAUGCGUAGAUAUGUGGAGGAACACCAAUGGCGAAGGCAGCUCUCUGGCCUGAUACUGACGCUGAGGUGCGAAAGCGUGGGGAGCAAACAGGAUUAGAUACCCCAGUAGUC